rnacentral:rRNA from 1 species
UACGAAGGGGGCUAGCGUUGUUCGGAAUUAGACGUGGGCGUAAAGGGCGCGUUAGGCGGCCUUUGUGAAGUUCGAGUGUGAAAGCCCUGGGCUUAACCCGGGAAAGCGCGCUUGAUACUGCGAGGGCUUGAGUGUGGGAGAGGAAUGAUGGAAUUCCCAGUGUAGAGGUGAAAUUCGAUAGAUAUUGGGAAGAACAACCGGUGGCGAAGGCGAUCAUCUGGACCACAACUGACGCUGAGGCGAGAAAGCGGAUGGGGACAA